rnacentral:lncRNA from 1 species
AAAAAAAAAUAUAUAUAUAUAGUAAAUAUUGAUAACUUAAAUCUUUACUGUUGUUUCAUUUUUCUUUUUAAAUAUGUACACAAUAAUAAUUCAAAAUAUGUAUAAAUAGUGACAAUAAAUAAGAAUGUAAUAAUGUAUUAUUAAAUAAUUACUUAUCUAAUUACUUCACGAUUGAUUCGAUUUAAAAAAAAAAUGCACGAAAACAAAUUCAAUUUAAUAUGAAAUGCAUGAUUAAAUAAAGCUUUACCGACGAAAGAAACAUUUUUGCUAUGCCAACAAAAGAAAUUCUAUACCUGAGUCGGUAGCACGUAAAGUAAGGACGCACAUUACUGUAAAAGGAUUUCAGAUACAUACAUAGAGAGAACGUUUUAUUACAGUUUUCAUCCGCAGAUUAGCCCCUUUGGAACCAUCGAUACUCAAUUCAGAACUUUAUUGCCCUCCAUAAAAGUAUCUAUUUGGUGUUUUCGGCUGGACCGACUGGACCGAGCAAUUCGAACAAAAAGGGUCCAAUUACGUACGGAUUGCCGACCGGCAUCGAACGCACACACAAUUCCAAAGACGUUGCGCAUCCCUUUCUUUUCCUUUUUAUCUUGAUUUCUAUCGUUCAUCGUGAAACAUGCCUAAAUAUAAUACAUGUUGCUCUUAAGGUUAUAUUUGUAUGUGUGAAAAAGCAUUUUUUGACUUCGUUGUGAACUUUAUUCUUGAAUACGUUGAGAUUUUUAGUUUAUACCAUUUUAGACGAUUUUGUCAGUUCUACGUCGUAAAUCGUAGCUAGGAGGAAAAAAGGUUGGAAAUCAAAUUUUUAUUGUUCAGACUAGAUAUAUGUACUAUCAACUGAAAAUCACUAUCUUUUCCUAUUUA